rnacentral:hammerhead_ribozyme from 1 species
AUCCAGAUGAUGAGUUCCAAAUAGGACGAAACGUGCGUCAAUCUGGAU